rnacentral:rRNA from 1 species
UGGGGAAUAUUGGGCAAUGGGGGGAAACCCUGACCCAGCAACGCCGCGUGAAGGAAGAAGGCCCUCGGGUUGUAAACUUCUUUUAGCAGGGACGAAGGACGUGACGGUACCUGCAGAAAAAGCAACGGCUAACUACGUGCCAGCAGCCGCGGUAAUACGUAGGUUGCAAGCGUUGUCCGGAUUUACUGGGUGUAAGGGCGUGUAGGCGGAGCUGCAAGUCAGAUGUGAAAUCCCGGGGCUCAACCCCGGAACUGCAUUUGAAACUGUAGCCCUUGAGUAUCGGAGAGGCAAGCGGAAUUCCUAGUGUAGCGGUGAAAUGCGUAGAUAUUAGGAGGAACACCAGUGGCGAAGGCGGCUUGCUGGACGACAACUGACGCUGAGGCGCGAAAGCGUGGGGAGCAAACAGGAUUAGAUACCCUGGUAGUCCACGCUGUAAACGAUGAAUACUAGGUGUGGGAGGACUGACCCCUUCCGUGCCGCAGCUAACGCAAUAAGUAUUCCACCUGGGGAGUACGACCGCAAGGUUGAAACUCAAAUGAAUUGAC